rnacentral:pre_miRNA from 1 species
UGACUACUCCCUCCGUUCGGAUUUACUUGUCACAAAAAUGGAUGUAUCUACAACUAAAAUACAUAUAGAUACAUUCAUUUCUUGGACGAGUAAUUCCGAACAGAGGGAGUAGAAG